UCAUAUAACUUAGGGGAGUAGCUUAUAAGCUAUAGAGCCAACAACCGGUAAUUAAAACUGCCUGGUUCUAUACUCCAAAUGGAAAGCAAGACCUUUGAUACGAUU
rnacentral:misc_RNA from 1 species